CCUACGGGUUGCAGCAGCGGGGAAUCUUGGACAAUGGGCGAAAGCCCGAUCCAGCAAUAUCGCGUGAGUGAAGAAGGGCAAUGCCGCUUGUAAAGCUCCUUCGUCGAGUGCGCGAUCAUGACAGGACUCGAGGAAGAAGCCCCGGCUAACUCCGUGCCAGCAGCCGCGGUAAUACGAAGGGGGCUAGCGUUGUUCGGAAUGACUGGGCGUAAAGGGCGCGUAAGCGGUUUAUGCAGUCAGAUGUGAAAUCCCCGGGCUUAACCUGGGAACUGCAUUCGAGACGCAUAGACUAGAGGUCGAGAGAGGGUUGUGGAAUUCCCAGUGUAGAGGUGAAAUUCGUAGAUAUUGGGAAGAACACCGGUGGCGAAGGCGGCAACCUGGCUCGAUACUGACGCUGAGGCGCGAAAGCGUGGGGAGCAAACAGGAUUAGAUACCCGCGUAGUC
rnacentral:rRNA from 1 species